rnacentral:rRNA from 1 species
AGCGAACGCUGGCGGCAGGCCUAACACAUGCAAGUCGAACGAGUGGCGGACGGGUGAGGAAUACAGUGGAAUCUACGCUGUCGACGGGGCUAACGUGGGGAAACUUACGCUAAUACCGCUAACGACUGAAUGUGCCGAUGUCGGAUUAGCUAGUCGGCGGGGUAAAGGCCCACCAAGGCGACGAUCCGUAGCUGGUCUGAGAGGAUGAUCAGCCACACUGGAACUGAGGCACGGUCCAGACUCCUACGGGAGGCAGCAGUGGGGAAUAUUGGACAAUGGGCGCAAGCCUGAUCCAGCCAUGCCGCGUGGGUGAAGAAGGCCUUCGGGUUGUAAAGCCCUUUUGUUGGGAAAGCGGUACCCAAAGAAAAAGCACCGGCUAACUACGUGCCAGCAGCCGCGGUAAUAC